UUAUAGAAAGAAAAGUUCAUGUACUAUUAAUAAGCAAACAAAAGCUGAUGAUGAUAUUUCAAUGCAAGUAUGUGAACCGUAUGGAAUCCACAAGACUAAACUAAGUGAAGAGAAUGAAGGAGUCUAUGAUGAAUGUCAAACAUCACCUGAAGAUGUUUAUGAACGUAUGCCGCAAUGAAAGGUAUUAGAGCAACUUAAUAUAGAGCAACUGUUGAAACUUUUUCACUAGUUUUAAUGUAGCAAUUGUUUUUACAUAGUUUGUGUGAAAAAGAGAA